ensembl:miRNA tgu-mir-2975 tgu-mir-2975
GGAGCACUUAAAAGGAAAGGUGUGGAUCCAUCAGAGGGAAGCGGGAAUCGAUGGAUCCAUCCUUUCCUUUCAUGCUGCUUC